UACGGAGGGUGCGAGCGUUUGUCCGGAAUCACUGGGCGUAAAGGGCGCGUAGGCGGCGCGGAUAGUCGGCGGUGAAAGCCCGGAGCUCAACUCCGGGUCGGCCGUCGAUACUUCCGGGCUUGAGCACUGUAGAGGCAGAUGGAAUUCCGGGUGUAGCGGUGGAAUGCGUAGAGAUCCGGGAAGAACACCGGGUGGCGAAGGCGGUCUGCUGGGCAGUUGCUGACGC
rnacentral:rRNA from 1 species